rnacentral:rRNA from 1 species
AGGAUGAACGCUGGCGGCGUGCCUAAUACAUGCAAGUCGAGCGGUAAGGCCACUUCGGUGGUACACGAGCGGCGGACGGCUGAGUAACACGUAGGAACGUACCCCAAACUGAGGGAUAAGCACCAGAAAAUGGUGUCUAAUACCGCAUGUGCUCUUCGGAGUAAAGCUACGGCGGUUUGGAACGGCCUGCGUAAGAUUAGCUUGUUGGUGAGGUAAUAGCUCACCAAGGCGACGAUCUUUAGCUGGUCUGAGAGGAUGACCAGCCAGACUGGGACUGAGAACGGCCCAGACUCCUACGGGAGGCAGCAGUAGGGAAUUUUCCACAAUGGGCGAAAGCCUGAUGGAGCAACGCCGCGUGCAGGAUGAAUGUCUUCGGAUUGUAAACUGCUUUUCUCUGUGACGAAUAUGACGGUAGCAGAGGAAUAAGGACCUGCUAACUACGUGCCAGCAGCCGC